rnacentral:rRNA from 2 species
GCCUUUAUUCUUAUUGGGAGCACGCCGCGUGAGUGAAGAAGGGUUUCGGCUCGUAAAACUCUGUUAUCUGAGAGAAGAAUAGGGGUAAGAGUAACUGUUUACCUCCUGACGGUAUCCGACCAGAAAGCCACGGCUAACUACGUGCCAGCAGCCGCGGUAAUACGUAGGUGGCAAGCGUUGUCCGGAUUUAUUGGGCGUAAAGCGAGCGCAGGCGGUUUUUUAAGUCUGAUGUGAAAGCCUUCGGCUCAACCGAAGAAGUGCAUCGGAAACUGGGAAACUUGAGUGCAGAAGAGGACAGUGGAACUCCAUGUGUAGCGGUGGAAUUA